CGGUUCGUAGCUCAGUUGGUAGAGCACCUGACUCUUAAUCAGGGUGUCGAGGGUUCGAUCCCCUCCGAACCGA
rnacentral:tRNA from 2 species